rnacentral:rRNA from 1 species
AUUGAACGCUGGCGGCAGGCCUAACACAUGCAAGUCGAACGAGUGGCGGACGGGUGAGUAAUGUCUGGGAAACUGCCUGAUGGAGGGGGAUAACUACUGGAAACGGUAGCUAAUAACGCAAACCAUAGGAUGUGCCCAGAUGGGAUUAGCUAGUAGUUGGGGUAAAGGCUCACCUCGGCGACGAUCCCUAGCUGGUCUGAGAGGAUGACCAGCCACACUGGAACUGAGACACGGUCCAGACUCCUACGGGAGGCAGCAGUGGGGAAUAUGGCACAAUGGGCGCAAGCCUGAUGCAGCCAUGCCGCGUGUAUGAAGAAGGCCUUCGGGUGGUAAAGUCCUUUCAGCGGGGAGGCGUUACCCGCAGAAGAAGCACCGGCUAACUCCGUGCCAGCAGCCGCGGUAAUAC